rnacentral:rRNA from 1 species
ACAGCAGCCGCCGCGGUAAUACAGAGGGUGCAAGCGUUAAUCGGAAUUACUGGGCGUAAAGCGCGCGUAGGUGGUUUGUUAAGUUGGAUGUGAAAGCCCCGGGCUCAACCUGGGAACUGCAUCCAAAACUGGCAAGCUAGAGUACGGUAGAGGGUGGUGGAAUUUCCUGUGUAGCGGUGAAAUGCGUAGAUAUAGGAAGGAACACCAGUGGCGAAGGCGACCACCUGGACUGAUACUGACACUGAGGUGCGAAAGCGUGGGGAGCAAACAGGAUUAGAUACCUCCGUAGUCCCUGUCUCUUAUAU